rnacentral:rRNA from 1 species
GACGAACGCUGGCGGCGUGCUUAACACAUGCAAGUCGAACGGAAAGGCCCCUUUGGGGGUACUCGAGUGGCGAACGGGUGAGUAACACGUGAGUAACCUGCCCUUGACUUCGGGAUAACUUCAGGAAACUGGGGCUAAUACCGGAUAGGAAUCCUUGCUGCAUGGUGGGGGUUGGAAAGCUUCGGCGGUUUUGGAUGGACUCGCGGCUUAUCAGCUUGUUGGUGGGGUAGUGGCUUACCAAGGCUUUGACGGGUAGCCGGCCUGAGAGGGCGACCGGCCAAAUUGGGACUGAGAUACGGCCCAGACUCCUACGGGAGGCAGCAGUGGGGAAUAUUGCACAAUGGGCGGAAGCCUGAUGCAGCAACGCCGCGUGCGGGAUGACGGCCUUCGGGUUGUAAACCGCUUUCAGCAGGGGCGAAGCUUGUGGUGACGGUACCUGCAGAAGAAGCACCGGCUAACUACGUG